rnacentral:tRNA from 1 species
CCUUCGAUAGCUCAGUUGGUAGAGCGGAGGACUGUAGAUGUUGCAAAUGGCCAUCCUUAGGUCGCUGGUUCAAAUCCGGCUCGAAGGA